rnacentral:rRNA from 1 species
GAUUCAUAAUAACUUUUCGAAUCGCAUGGCCUUGCGCCGGCGAUGGUUCAUUCAAAUUUCUUCCCUAUCAACUUUCGAUGUUUGGGUAUUGGCCAAACAUGGUCGCAACGGGUAACGGAGGGUUAGGGCUCGACCCCGGAGAAGGAGCCUGAGAAACGGCUACUACAUCCAAGGAAGGCAGCAGGCGCGCAAAUUACCCAAUCCCGAUUCGGGGAGGUAGUGACAAUAAAUACUGAUACAGGGCUCUUUUGGGUCUUGUAAUUGGAAUGAGUACAAUUUAAAUCCCUUAACGAGGAACAAUUGGAGGGCAAGUCUGGUGCCAGCAGCCGCGGUAAUUCCAGCUCCAAUAGCGUAUAUUAAAGUUGUUGUGGUUAAAAAGCUCGUAGUUGAACCUUGGGCCUGGCUGGCCGGUCCGCCUCACCGCGUGCACUGUGCCGGCCGGGCCUUUCCCUCUGUGGAACCUCAUGCCCUUCACUGGGUGUGGCGGGGAACCAGGACUUUUAC